GUGAUUGGAAUGAGUACACUUUAAAUCCUUUAACGAGGAACCAUUGGAGGGCAAGUCUGGUGCCAGCAGCCGCGGUAACUCCAGCUCCAAUAGCGUAUAUUAAAGUUGUUGCGGUUAAAAAGCUCGUAGUCGGAUGUCUGUCUUCGGCCGGGCGGCGCCGCUCUGAAUCAAGGGUGUUGCGUUUAACGCUCUGGGAGGCGGGUGUCAAAGCCCGCUUCUCUUCACGGUCGGACAACAUCGCCGGAGUGGUGGGCUAGGGCCGCGGGGUCGCCGGCGUGUCGGGGUCAAACCCUUCGCGUUCGGUUCCCGUGGUACUCCCACCCGCAUUCAAUCGUUCGGGGUGCCCUUCACCGGGUGUCUCGGGCGGCCGGCAACGUUUACUUUGAACAAAUUAGAGUGCUCAAAGCAGGUGUAUCCCAACGCCUGAAUAUCGCAGCAUGGAAUGAUGGAAUAGGACCUCGGUCCGAUUUUGCUGGUCUUUUACUUUUGGACCCCGAGGUAAUUUUCAAUUG
rnacentral:rRNA from 1 species